GUCGAGGGGCAGCAUGAACUUAGCUUGCUAAGUUUGAUGGCGACCGGCGCACGGGUGAGUAACACGUAUCCAACCUGCCGAUGACUCGGGGAUAGCCUUUCGAAAGAAAGAUUAAUACCCGAUGGCAUAGUUCUUCCGCAUGGUAGAACUAUUAAAGAAUUUCGGUCAUCGAUGGGGAUGCGUUCCAUUAGGUUGUUGGCGGGGUAACGGCCCACCAAGCCUUCGAUGGAUAGGGGUUCUGAGAGGAAGGUCCCCCACAUUGGAACUGAGACACGGUCCAAACUCCUACGGGAGGCAGCAGUGAGGAAUAUUGGUCAAUGGACGAGAGUCUGAACCAGCCAAGUAGCGUGAAGGAUGACUGCCCUAUGGGUUGUAAACUUCUUUUAUACGGGAAUAAAGUGAGGCACGUGUGCCUUUUUGUAUGUACCGUAUGAAUAAGGAUCGGCUAACUCCGUGCCAGCAGCCGCGGUAAUACGGAGGAUCCGAGCGUUAUCCGGAUUUAUUGGGUUUAAAGGGAGCGUAGGCGGACGCUUAAGUCAGUUGUGAAAGUUUGCGGCUCAACCGUAAAAUUGCAGUUGAUACUGGGUGUCUUGAAUACAGUAGAGGCAGGCGGAAUUCGUGGUGUAGCGGUGAAAUGCUUAGAUAUCACGAAGAACUCCGAUUGCGAAGGCAGCUUGCUGGACUGUAACU
rnacentral:rRNA from 1 species